AUCAGAUUCAGAGAUGUUCAGCUCUGUGUCUGUGAAGAGCAACUGUUCAAGAGAUGAACCACCUGAAUUCAGUGAGGAGAAAACAGCAUCUAAUAAAAGUGUGAGAUCAGGUUCACAGGUGUUCAGCUUUGUGUCUGUGAAGAGUGACUGUUCAAGAGAUGAACCACCAGAAUUCAGUGAGGAAAAUAUAUUGUCUAAUAAAAGGCUGCAAUAUGAGACUGUAAAUUCAGAUUCCCAGACACAUGUUAAUAACAGC